rnacentral:rRNA from 1 species
GAUGAACGCUGGCGGCGUGCUUAACACAUGCAGGUCGAACGGGAAACCUUUUAUUGAAGCUUCGGCAGAUUUAGCUGGUUUCUAGUGGCGGACGGGUGAGUAACGCGUGGGUAACCUGCCCUAUACAGGGGGAUAACAACCAGAAAUGGUUGCUAAUACCGCAUAAGCGCACAGGGCCGCAUGGUCCGGUGUGAAAAACUCCGGUGGUAUAGGAUGGACCCGCGUUGGAUUAGCCAGUUGGCAGGGUAACGGCCUACCAAAGCGACGAUCCAUAGCCGGCCUGAGAGGGUGAACGGCCACAUUGGGACUGAGACACGGCCCAGACUCCUACGGGAGGCAGCAGUGGGGAAUAUUGCACAAUGGGGGAAACCCUGAUGCAGCGACGCCGCGUGAAGGAAGAAGUAUCUCGGUAUGUAAACUUCUAUCAGCAGGGAAGAUAGUGACGGUACCUGACUAAGAAGCCCCGGCUAACUACGUG